GACGAACGCUGGCGGCGUGCCUAAUACAUGCAAGUUGAGCGAUGAAGCUUGGUGCUUGCCCCAAUUUGAAGAGCAGCGAACGGGUGAGUAACGCGUGGGGAAUCUGCCUUUGAGCGGGGGACAACAUUUGGAAACGAAUGCUAAUACCGCAUAACAACUUUAAACAUAAGUUUUAAGUUUGAUAGAUGCAAUUGCAUCACUCAAAGAUGAUCCCGCGUUGUAUUAGCUAGUUGGUGAGGUAAAGGCUCACCAAGGCGAUGAUACAUAGCCGACCUGAGAGGGUGAUCGGCCACAUUGGGACUGAGACACGGCCCAAACUCCUACGGGAGGCAGCAGUAGGGAAUCUUCGGCAAUGGACGAAGGUCUGACCGAGCAACGCCGCGUGAGUGAAGAAGGGUUUCGGAUCGUAAAACUCUGUUGGUAGAGAAGAACGUUGGUGAGAGUGGAAAGCUCAUCAAGUGACGGUAACUACCCAGAAAGGGACGGCUAACUACGUG
rnacentral:rRNA from 1 species